rnacentral:rRNA from 2 species
GUCCCAAGGGUUGGGCUGUUCGCCCAUUAAAGCGGUACGCGAGCUGGGUUCAGAACGUCGUGAGACAGUUCGGUCCCUAUCCGUCGUGGGCGUAGGAAAUUUGAGAGGAGCUGUCCUUAGUACGAGAGGACCGGGAUGGACACACCGCUGGUGUACCAGUUGUCUUGCCAAAGGCAUCGCUGGGUAGCUAUGUGUGGACGGGAUAAGUGCUGAAAGCAUCUAAGCAUGAAGCCCCCCUCAAGAUGAGAUUUCCCAUAGCGCAAGCUAGUAAGAUCCCUGAAAGAUGAUCAGGUUGAUAGGUCAGAGGUGGAAGCGUGGCGACAUGUGUAGCUGACUGAUACUAAUCGAUCGAGGACUUAACCAAAC